rnacentral:lncRNA from 1 species
UUCCGAGUCCGGCGGACGAAGUUGGCCAGCCCCACCCCCCACCCCCCAAGGCUAUAGCCCACCCGUUUUUGUGGCCUUUUUCCGCUUGACGAACUUGGCGCCCCGGCCUUCGGGCGGUUAUUUUUGGACGCGGCUUUGCUCGCAGCCUAUUUUUGGCACACAGAGGCCCCUCGCAAAGUCUCGCGGCAUUCCAAGUCCGGCGGACGAAGUAGGCCGGCCCCACCCCCCAAGGCUAUAGCCCACCCGUUUUUGUGGCCUUUUUCCGCUGGACAAACUUGGCGCCCCGGCCGUCGGGCGGUUAUUUUUGCGCGCGGCUUUGCCCGCGGCCUAUUUUUGACACACGGAGGCCCCUUAAAGUCUCGCGGCAUUCCGAGUCUGGCGGACGAAGUAGGCCGGCCCCACCCCCCAAGGCUAUAGCCCACCCGUUUUUGUGGCCUUUUUCCGCUGGACGAACUUGGCGCCCCGGCCGUCGGGCGGUUAUUUUUGGGCGCGGCUUUGCCCGCGGCCUAUUUUUGACACACGGAGGCCCCUUAAAGUCUCGCGGCAUUCCGAGUCCGGCGGACGAAUUUGGCCCGCCCCACCCCCCAAGGCUAAAGCCCACCCGUUUUUGUGGCCUUUUUCCGCUGGACGAACUUGGCGCCCCGGCCUUCGGGCGGUUAUUUUUGGGCGCGGCUUUGCCCGCGGCCUAUUUUUGGCACACGGAAGCCCCUCGCAAAGUCUCGCGGCAUUCGGAGUCCGGCGGACGAAGUUGGCCACCCCACCCGCCAAGGCUAUAGCCCACCCGUUUUUAUGGCCUUUUUCCGCGGGACGAACUUGGCGCCCCGGCCUUUGGGCCGUUAUUUUUGGUCGCGGCUUUACCCGCGGCCUAUUUUUGGCACACGGAGGCCCCUCGCAAAGUCUCGCGGCAUUCCGAAUCCGUUGGACGAAGUUGGCCAGCCUCACCCCCCAAGGCUAUAGCCCACCCGUUUUUGUGGCCUUUUUCCGCUGGACGAACUUGGCGCCCCGGACGUCGGGCGGUUAUUUUCGUGCGCGGCUUUGCCCGCGGCCUAUUUUUGGCACACAGAGGCCCCUCGCAAAGUCUCGCGGCAUUCCGAGUCCGGCUGACGAAGUUGGCCAGCCCCACCCCCCAAGGCUAAAGCGCACCCGUUUUUGUGGCCUUUUUCCGCUGGACGAACUUGGCGCCCCGGCCUUCGGGCGGUUAUUUUUGGGUGCGGCAUUGCGCGCGGCCUAUUUUUGGCACACGGAAGCCCCUCACAAAGUCUCGCGGCUUUCCGAGUCCGGCGGAAGAAAGUUGGCCCCCCCACCGGCCAAGGCUAUAGCCCACCCGUUUUUAUGGCUUUUUCCGCGGGACGAACUUGGCGCCCCGGCCUUUGGCCCGUUAUUUUUGGUCGCGGCUUUACCCGCGGCCUAUUUUGGGCACACGGAGGCCCCUCGCAAAGUCUCGCGGCAUUCCGAAUCCGUUGGACGAAGUUGGCCAGCCUCACCCCCCAAGGCUAUAGCCCACCCGUUUUUGUGGCCUUUUUCCGCUGGACGAACUUGGCGCCCCGGACGUCGGGCGGUUAUUUUCGUGCGCGGCUUUACCCGUGGCCUAUUUUUGGCACACAGAGGCCCCUCGCAAAGUCUCGCAGCAUUCCGAGUCCGGCGGACGAAGUCGGCCAGCAUCACCCCCCAAGGCUAUAGCCCACCCGUUUUUGUGGCCUUUUUCCGCUGGACGAACUUGGCGCCCCGGCGUUCGGGCGGUUAAUUUGGGGCGCUACUUUGACCGCGGCCUAUUUUUGGCACACGGAGGCCCCUCGCAAAGUCUCGCGGCAUUCCGAGUCCGGCGGACGAAGUUGGCCAUCAUCACCCCCCAAGGCUAUAGCCCACCCGUUUUUGUGGCCUUUUUCCGCUGCACGAACUUGGCGCCCCGGCCGUCGGGAGGUUAUUUUUGGGCGCGGCUUUGCCCGCGGCCUAUUUUUGACACACGGAGGCCCCUUAAAGUCUCGCGGCAUUCCGAGUCCGGCGGACGAACUUGGCCAGCCCCACCCCCCAAGGCUAUAGCCCACCC